GGGUCAGUAGGUUGGUAGUGCCACCGGUACGUACUGGUCUCACUGAUUCCUCCUUCCUGAAGAACCGUAAUGCCAUUAAUUUGGUGUUGCGGGGAAACAGGACUGUUACUUUGAAAAAAUUAGAGUGUCUAAAGCAAGCUAACGCUUGAAUACAUUAGCAUGGAAUAAUGAAACAGGACGAUCGAUCCUAUUUUGUUGGUUUCUAGGAUUGACGUA
rnacentral:rRNA from 1 species